rnacentral:lncRNA from 1 species
AAACUUAAACGUCGGAGUAUCAACCUAUCUCGAAAAACUGGAAUACCGAAGUUUCAGAAUUUAGGUGUUGUCCUAGAGAAACUAAAGAGAAGGAAAGAAGACGUGGAACAGAUGGACGAUACGAUUCAAGGCAUGAAAAGAACUUUUUCGAAAGUGCUCAUUACUAACGAGCAUAGAAAUAUAACAGGAAUCAUAAAAUGCAAGCGAUUGGUAUUGCGAAACGGUUUCAUCAAACACUUACGUAUCGUAUAUCCCGAGCAAUCUGUUUCCCACAUGGGCCGGAUGAACGCAACCCUGGUGAAAGCAUUGAAAUUGAUACGGUACCUGGACAAAGUUGAGUUGCCCCCAAUAACUCAGUUAAGGUUGUGGGGAAACUUGAAUGUUUUGUUCGGGGAAGUGAACUCAGUAGCUAUUCCUCAACUAAGUCCAGCCGUGUUGCUCACUUACAAAGACCGACAGUUCAUCCAUGCCCCUCUCAACUUCACUACUGUCACCGUCAACUGGCUUUUAGCAGACUCGGUCAAUAAUAUCUCGACGGAUGAUUUGGUUUUUAGGACGAACACUUUUUUCCCCAAGCCAGCGGUGAUGAGUCAAGUUGAAUGCGGUAAACUAAAGUUCCGUUCCGCUCCUAUUGUCAACGAUAUCAACUUAAAUGAAGUGGUCACUUUUGGGUCCAAGCCACGAAUUAUUACCGGUUUGAAAACUUGCAAAAAUCUUGCCGCGGAGAAGUUGAAAGUUUUUGCUGUUGAAAAGCUGGAGCUCGAGAGAAAUUGUUGCGUUGAAGAAGAACACCGUGACUGAAUAUAGCACAGCGGCGAUUACCUAUAGCUGUUGGAUGCGAUCGCUUUGAGGAUUCAUCUUUAAACCCAUAACUCAUCUCAUGCUUUAUUAAAAUGUUUCAUUCAAAAAAAAAAAAAAGAAAGAAGAAAGAGAGAAAGAAAGAAAAGAAAGAAAAGAAAGAAAAAAAGUUUAAUCAAGCAUUAUUUAAUAGCGUUUAAUUUUCAUACACUUGAAUAAUAAAUAUUUCUUUUCUGCAAGACGAAUUGUGAGCACCUACGGUAAAUAAAGGUCCUAUGAAUGGUCUAUGAUGUGAAGAUCAUGAACUUUGAUUAUAGUCCUUCGAAUGAUUAAAUGAGGAAAUAAAUAUGGAG